rnacentral:misc_RNA from 1 species
UUUUAUUUUAUUUUAUUUUUCAAGCACUAUGUAAAUGGUUAAUGGCUAAAAAAUAAAAGUUGUUUUCUUUAAUUUAUAAUUAUAAUUAAUUAUUUUAAUUUUAUCACUUAAAUUUUCUAAUAUUACUAUUUUUUUAAAAAAAUUUGAAAGAGAAUUGCUAUACUGGCAUAUAUUUUAUAAUAAAUUACUAAAAAUCAUUUUAGGUUUGUCAUAAUAUACCUUUUUGAUCCUUUUCAACUGCAACUUUUGUGAACAUGAAUAUGAGUCGUGUGGAGUGUGAACGGAAUUGCUUGAGGAAUUGUUCUUGCUCUUGAUAUGCAAAUGUAGAAAUUGCUGGGAAAGAUAGUAGGUGUGUAGCAUGGUAUGGGGAACUAAUAGACACAGCAGAUCAUAUGGAUAACAAAUAUAAUCUGUAUGUUCGUGUUGAUGCAACUGAAUUAGCUGCAAAUGCCACAAAGUCAAGCUUUUUUCUCAGAAAGGGGCUAGACAUUCUAAUACUGUCUGUUGUUUUAGCAUGGCUCGCCGUUAUCUUAUUUGCCUAUUUGUGGAUUAGGAGGAAGAAAAGUGUGACUAAGAACAAAUGGAAAAGAAAACUCUUUGAUCCUACCACUGAUUCAAUCUACUACAAAAAUACUCUGGUGGCAAGUGAGCUUGGUCGGAAUAGCCAUCCUCCUGACAUAGAAUUUUUUGAUCUCAGCACCAUAGUUGCUGCCACUAACAACUUCUCUUCUGCUAACAAACUUGGCCAGGGUGGCUUUGGUUCAGUUUAUAAGGUGAAGUCUCUAUGCAAUAUUUUAACGCUUAUUAGCUUUAUAGGGCCAUAUGUUGUUUGCUAUACCGUGUGAUUGUGAGAUUCUUCAACUGCAUGAACAAACUAAUGGACAUGAUUGUUCACCGAAAAUUGACUCUUGUUGACAUGAUUUCAGGGUCAGCUAUCAAGUGGACAGGAGGUUGCUGUAAAAUGACUAUCCAAAAACUCAGGGCAAGGAAUAGAAGAAGUUAAAAAUGAAGUUAUGUUGAUUGCAAAGCUUCAGCACAGGAAUCUUGUGAAACUUCUAGGUUGCUGCA